rnacentral:rRNA from 1 species
GACCGUGCGAAGGUAGCAUAAUCAUUAGUUUUUUAAUUGAAGGCUAGAAUGAAUGGUUGGACAAGAAAUAAUCUGUCUUAGAUUAAUAUAUUGAAUUUAACUUUUAAGUGAAAAGGCUUAAAUGAUCUGAAGGGACGAUAAGACCCUAUAAAACUUUAUAUUGAAAAGUAAUAGGUAUGAUUUGUUUGAAGGGUUAUUACUUUAAAGUAUUUGGUUGGGGUGACAAAAAUAGAAUAGAAAGUAACUGUUUUUUUUUUUAACAAUAAUGUUUGGGUUAGUGAUCCUAAAAUGGAUUAAAGAUUAAGUUACUUUAGGGAUAACAGCGUAA